CUUCCGUAGUUGGAGGCCUAUUAGUACUCUCUAGGUCGGUGAUGAUUAGAUUGACGUCAAGUCUUGAUGUUGCGUUUUGGUUAAAAUCUUUGAUAGUUAGAGUAACUUGUAGAUCAUUAGCUAAGAUAUUGUUCUCGUAUCUUACUUCAUUCAUCACGUAUUCGGUAGUUUUUUCAAUAAGGUAUGUUGAAUGGAGGUGGUAAAUCUCAUGGUAUAUUAACAUGUAUUCCAUGCUCUCAGUUAUUAAGUCAUUAAAAUUAUCUUGGCUGUCAAUGAUAGAUGGUAGCUGAAAAUCAAUUAUGGAUUGUUGUGUGUUGGGUCUGUGGAUGCAGACCUGAAGGGUUUGUUUUGGGUUUUGAUUUGUAGAUCUUGUUUGAUGUGAGAGGCGAUGAGAUAUAAGAGAUUCUCGCCUUUUUGCAAUUUGGAGGAUACACUCUUGUCAGAAACACCAAUGAUCUCUACAGGAGUUUUGGAUUUGAUACACAACCAAUUCUCAUUGGACUGAUCAUAUUUCAGCACACGGUAAUACCACUUCAACACCCAGUAAGCUUUGGCCUCACUCAAUCUUCUUAGCGUUUGAGUUUCAGGCUGAUGAUUUUGCAGUGAGUCUUGGUUAUGCAAAAGUUCUCUAUCCUGCGCUAGUGUAGCUACAUGUAGAAGCAGACAAUGAACAGAAUAACACAGACUAUUUUCCUCAGAGCAAUGAACACUGAUGGUACUCAGCUUAUCACUACUCACAUCUCCAUAUUGUUGAGAGACUUCGAGCCAUUGAUGGACAACACAUGAAGACAGAUUAAAUCCUUAUAAGCUGGCCUGUUGUACUGUUCGAUAUGAUCAUUUCUGAUCCAACCUAGCUUUGUAGCAUCAACUUCAGGGAACCCGCUAAAUUGAGUAGUGAAACCACUAAUAAAUAGUUGCAUUACUGAGCAAGACAAAAUUAGAAUUAAAAUUUUGCAAAAAGUUUAAAAUUUAUUGCAUUUUUCAGUAGCAAUUUUAAUAAAAUCUGUACAAUGGAACGUUUGGAAUAUGUGAUACUGAAUCAUCGACCAAAACGUUUAGUUACCAAAAAAAUAAUAAUCAAAACUCAUAUAUCAUGUGGAAAGCAGACCGUAUAAGAAACAGAGUAACUCUGCUUCUAGAGGGUUGCGUUCGCAAUAGAGAUAAUUCCUGCUCUUACCACAUGAUUCCAUAGCAUACAAGAUGCAU